CCGGCAAGGCCGGACGGAGAUCGGAGCGGAGCCGGGAGGAAGCCGGCCGGGCGGGACGGAGAUCGGGACGGAACCCGGAGGAAGCCGGCAAGGCCGGACGGAGAUCGGGGCGGAGCCCGGAGGAAGUCGGCCGAGAAGGACGGAGAUCCGCACGGAGCCCGGAGGAAGCCGGCAAGGCCGGACGGAGAUCGGGGCGGAGCCCGAGGACCGGGCCAGGGCGGGCUGUGGCGGGGCGCUGGCUUACCCCUGGGUCUGGGGCGUGAGGCGUAGACGCCACACAGGAUAAAAACGAGAUGUGAGGGCGACAUCCCCUGUGGCUUGGGGUUAGAGUCCCGCGGCCAAACGACGGAGUGCUGCGGGCGGCGUGCUGACGGCGACAGCGGACCCGACUGAGCGCCUUAGGUUCCUGUCCACGGCUGCGGCGGGACGGUAGCUCUGAAGAACAAUGGGAAUGGCCACUUUGAAAAAAAAAGUUCUAGGUCAAUAGAUAUCCAAGGGGCUGGGGUGGUGGCUCAGCGGUAGAGCGCUCGCCUAGCACGCAUGAGGCACUGGGUUCGAUCCUCAGCACCACAUACAAAGAUAAAUAAAAAUAAAAACAAAGUUAUAUUUAAAAAAAAAUAGAUAUCCAGCUAGUAAGUUUGAUUUGCACCUCUGCUCUUAAACAUGCAGAAAAAAUGAUUUCAGGCGUAAAAAGCUUAUAUGGGAAGAAGACUUACCCUUCUUUACAGGGUGGUCAUGGAGACAAUGUGUUAGUGAUAGGAUAGAGCAAGAUUUCCCCAGCAAAAACACAGGCAUCACCACACGUUCACCAGCAACAUCAGAGCAGUGGGCUUCUGUUACCACGCAUGCCAUAGAAGAUUCUGUGACAAGUCACACAGAUAGGACGAUAUUGAGGUUUCUGUAAGUGAAUAUGUAUACACUAUAUUUAAUGGCUUCUACGAAUUAAGGAAAGGUUUCAUAUAAAAAACUAAUAAAACUCGUAAUAGUCAUUUUACAUUUGAAUUACAAAAGAUAGAUGACAAAUAUGAAAAGAAAAAUGCAUUUAAACUGGGCAGUAAGAAAACUGCAUUAAAGUAAACUAGAACUUUUGAUGAAAGUCACAUUUUCAGUGUGGUUAACACUAAAAAGGUCAGUAAAUAGUAAAAACUAACAGUGGGUGUGAAGACUGGAAAAAGUGUCCUGGAGAUGUGUGGCAUUUGUUAUGUCUCCACAAGAUUCAUAUGUUGAAGUCAUCACCCACAAUGUGACCUGUUGGGUUGUAGGGAAUUUAAGGAAGAACUGAAGGUUAAAUGAGGCCAUAGGCAUGAGCCCCAAUUCAGUGGCCGCUGCCCUUAAUAGAAGAGAUCCUAGGAAUGUACCCACACAGAGGGAAGGCUGUGGGAGGACCCAGCAAGAAGGGAGUCUCCUACUACACAAGGAGAGAGGCCUCAGGAGAAACCAUGUCUGUUGGCAGCUUGAUCUUAGACGUCCUACCUCUGCAGCUGAGAAAAUAAAAUUUUGUUAUUUAA